GUUCGCUUCAGCAGCACAUAUACUAAAAUUGGAACAAUACAGAGAUUAGCAUGGCCCCUUGCAAAGAUGACAUACAAAUUCUUGAAGAAUUACUUUAAGCU
rnacentral:snRNA from 1 species